rnacentral:pre_miRNA from 1 species
AUCAUACUCCCUCCGUCCUAAAAUUCUUGUCUUAGAUUUGUUUAGAUAUGAAUGUAUCUAGUCAAGUUUAGUAUUUAGAUACAUUCAUUUCGACAAGAAUUUUGGGACGGAGGGAGUAGAAU